GAUGAACGCUGGCGGCGUGCCUAAUACAUGCAAGUCGAGCGAACGGACGAGAAGCUUGCUUCUCUGAUGUUAGCGGCGGACGGGCGAGUAACACGUGGAUAACCUACCUAUAAGACUGGGAUAACUUCGGGAAACCGUAGCUAAUACCGGAUAAUAUUUUGAACCGCAUGGUUCAAAAGUGAAAGACGGUCUUGCUGUCACUUAUAGAUGGGUCCGCGCUGCAUUAGCUAGUUGGUAAGGUAACGGCUUACCAAGGCAACGAUGCAUAGCCGACCUGAGAGGGUGAUCGGCCACACUGGAACUGAGACACGGUCCAGACUCCUACGGGAGGCAGCAGUAGGGAAUCUUCCGCAAUGGGCGAAAGCCUGACGGAGCAACGCCGCGUGAGUGAUGAAGGUCCUCGGAUCGUAAAACUCUGUUAUUAGGGAAGAACAUAUGUGUAAGUAACUGUGCACAUCUUGACGGUACCUAAUCAGAAAGCCACGGCUAACUACGUG
rnacentral:rRNA from 1 species